UAUGAAGAACGUAGCGAAAUGCGAUAAGUAGUGUGAAUUGCAGAAUUCAGUGAAUCAUCGAAUCUUUGAACGCACAUUGCGCCCUAUAGUAUUCUGUAGGGCAUGCAUGUUCGAGCGUCAUUUGUACCUUCAAGCUUUGCUUGGUGUUGGGUGUUUGUCCUCUCCCUGGUGUUUGGACUCGCCUUAAAACAAUUGGCAGCCAGUGUUUUGGUAUUGAAGCGCAGCACAAUUUGCGAUUCUGGCCUUAAAAUACUAGCGUCCAUAAGUACAUUCUCACUUUUGACCUCGGAUCAUGUAGGGAUACCCGCUGAACUUAAGCAUAUCAAUAAGCGGAGGA
rnacentral:misc_RNA from 1 species